rnacentral:rRNA from 1 species
UGGGGAAUUUUGCACAAUGGGGGAAACCCUGAUGCAGCGACGCCGCGUGAUUUAGAAGGCCUUCGGGUUGUAAAAAUCUUUUGUAUGGGAAGAAAAUGACAGUACCAUACGAAUAAGGACCGGCUAAUCACGUGCCAGCAGCCGCGGUAAUACGUAAGGUCCGAGCGUUGUCCGGAAUCAUUGGGCGUAAAGGGUACGUAGGCGGAUAAGCAAGUUAGAAGUGAAAUCCUAUAGCUCAACUAUAGUAAGCUUUUAAAACUGCUCAUCUUGAGGUAUGGAAGGGAAAGUGGAAUUCCUAGUGUAGCGGUGAAAUGCGCAGAUAUUAGGAGGAAUACCGGUGGCGAAGGCGACUUUCUGGCCAUAAACUGACGCUGAGGUACGAAAGCGUGGGUAGCAAACAGG